CAUUUGCCAAGUAUGUUUCCGUUAAUCAAGAACGAAAGUUAGAGGUUCGAAGGCGAUCAGAUACCGCCCUAGUUCUAACCAUAAACGAUGCCAGCCAGCGAUCCGCCGAAGUUCCUCCGAUGACUCGGCGGGCAGCUUCCGGGAAACCAAAGCUUUUGGGUUCCGGGGGAAGUAUGGUUGCAAAGCUGAAACUUAAAGGAAUUGACGGAAGGGCACCACCAGGAGUGGAGCCUGCGGCUUAAUUUGACUCAACACGGGAAACCUCACCAGGCCCGGACACCGGAAGGAUUGACAGAUUGAGAGCUCUUUCUUGAUUCGGUGGGUGGUGGUGCAUGGCCGUUCUUAGUUGGUGGAGCGAUUUGUCUGGUUAAUUCCGGUAACGAACGAGACUCUAGCCUGCUAAAUAGACGAUUUCCGGUAUCCACAAUAGUGCUACCGGCGAAAUCAAUAUCUUCUUAGAGGGACAGGCGGCUUUCAGCCGCACGAAACUGAGCAAUAACAGGUCUGUGAUGCCCUUAGAUGUCCUGGGCCGCACGCGCGCUACACUGAAGGAAUCAGCGUGUACACCCUGGCCGAAAGGCUCGGGCAACCCGUUGAACCUCCUUCGUGCUAGGGAUUGGGGCUUGCAAUUGUUCCCCAUGAACGAGGAAUUCCCAGUAAGCGCGAGUCAUAAGCUCGCGUUGAUUACGUCCCUGCCCUUUGUACACACCGCCCGUCGCUACUACCGAUUGAAUGAUUUAGUGAGGUCUUCGGACUAGUGCGCGGCGGCCGCCUGCGCGGCGGCCGAUGCCACCGGGAAGAUGACCGAACUUGAUCAUUUAGAGGAAGUA
rnacentral:rRNA from 1 species